rnacentral:sRNA from 1 species
GAGUUCCCUGUUGCCCUUGGUCUCGGGGUCGCUGUCGGCGCUGAGGCUGCAGGUGGGUUUGGGGAGCCCGGGGGGCCGCCGCGACGAGGAUCACGGCGACGGUGGCGGGGAGGGUUCUAGGCAAGCCCUCGGUGCUGUGCAUGUGUGGAGGGGUGGUCUGGGCUUCCCUGGAGCUUCCGAACGAAGGUGACGGGAAAGGAAAAUGGGGUUUUCUUCGGGUGGAGGAUGGGAUUUCCGGGCCGGAGCUUUUGGAAAGGGUUUUCUGAGGCUGUCAUAACAGGAAAACGUCCGUAGAGAUGUGACCCAGUGACCGCCCGCUAACCGGACUGGAGAGGAGACCGGCCCGGAUCCCACGCCUGGCCUGAAGCAGGGAAGACGCUGCCUCCCCUCCGCGAGCAGCUUACAUUCGUCCAAGUUCCAGCCUUCUGUCUUCUCGCUAACCUCGCUCUCUUCCAAAUCGCAAAUCCUCUUGAGCCGACACCAUUGCGCCAUUGCACUCCGGCCUGGGCAACAAGAGCGAAACUUCGUCUCAAAAUAAAAAAAAAAAAAAGGAAAGAAAAAAGUAUGAA